rnacentral:rRNA from 1 species
CCUACGGGUGGCAGCAGUGGGGAAUAUUGCGCAAUGGGCGAAAGCCUGACGCAGCGACGCCGCGUGAGGGAUGAAGGUCUUCGGAUCGUAAACCUCUGUCAGCAGGGAAGAACGGUCACUGUGCUAAUCAGCAGUGAAUUGACGGUAACUGCAAAGGAAGCACCGGCUAACUCCGUGCCAGCAGCCGCGGUAAUACGGAGGGUGCGUGCGUUAAUCGGAAUUACUGGGCGUAAAGCGCUCGUAGGCGGUAUGUCAAGUCAAGGGUGAAAUCCCCGCGCUCAACGUGGGAACUGCCUUUGAAACUGGCAAACUGGAGUGUGUGAGAGGAUAGUGGAAUGCCAGGUGUAGGAGUGAAAUGCGUAGAUAUCUGGAGGAACAUCAGUGGCGAAGGCGACUAUCUGGCACAUAACUGACGCUGAGGAGCGAAAGCGUGGGUAGCAAACAGGAUUAGAUACCCGGGUAGUC